rnacentral:lncRNA from 1 species
AACUCUGAAAAACAUUUAUUCAUCCAUUUGAAGACUAUACAUCCAUUACAUGUUACCUUAAAAAAAUUUUUAAACCUAUAUUUUCCAAAACAAUAUAUUUCAUCAGUAGGAGUGGCAUCGUUUUACAUUUUUGCAGAUCCUUAAAGCCUGGCUUAACAGAAGGCUGCUGCAUCCUCAUAGCUGCUUCCGCCUUCGGUCUGUUGCAGUAUGGUAUCCUGACUGAAGAAAACCACGUGGGGUUGGGAAAGGAAGGACCUUGAGGACCCUCAGGGGUCCUUGGACCACACUGCCGAGGGCAUGGUGUGGCAGCCGACUUUAACCCAUACAUUCUAGAACAGAGAGAGCCAUGACCAAACCAGAGGGAGAGACACCUGCAGAUAUCCUGGGUUGCGGGCUGGAAGAAGUAUUAACAGUUGAUGAAGCAGCUUGGCAUUGCCUCUCUUUUCUCCUAGGGAAGGGAUAAACCACUGUCUUUUUGUGAGGCAUGGUUGUGUUAUGUCAGGUGGGAGCCUGAUUUCUGAGGUGCGCGCAUGGGAAGAUGGGGGUGCAUCAGAUAGCCAAGGAAAGUGGUGUAGUGGACUUUUGUCAUCUGAACACCCUUCCUUUUGGGAAAAUCUUUUAUCGAGUGAGUUCUGGCAGAGUCCUGCCCCCUCCUCCUCGAGACAAAGGAGCCAGAUGCUGUUUUGCAGCAAAAGCUGACUGAUACAUCACAGGAGAAAUAGUUACAGAAUCUGACACAUGCUGAAUGCUGGAUAAUCAGUGUUUCAUGGCAGUUAGGUAAAUCCCAGGCACUGAAGUGCUCGCAGCCUCACAGAUCGAACGACUUCCUACAACCUGUCACUUCUGUUUUUACCUAAUGGUCCUGACAGCGGAUGGCCUACCUGGUGAGAAAGCUUGUUUCCACACUAGAUGCUGGCUUUCCAACACCAGAUAGCUUGGGGGAAGAGGAAGUUAAGAUGGGCUGGGGGGUUGUGGGGACCCCUCAGGUUUGGGAGUUUGCACCAGGUGCCAACAAGCUCCUGGCCUGAAACUGUAGCCAGGAGGGGCCAGUGGUCCCACUGCAGCCUCCAAACCUGCCUCCCAGUUCCUCCAGCACUGCCUGCCCAUGCACCCCUAAAUCUUACUGAAAUGAAAAUCCACGUCUUUGAGAUAUUCUUUAGGGGUGGAGGGGAGGCACUGGGCUCCUGAAAACAAAGAUGAGCUUAAAGUUCUAGGUCACCCUGAGGCUAGCAGCAUCCUUCCCUGCAUUUUGCAAAAGCUGCACUGGGCUCUUUCCCUUUGUGGGUGCAGCUCACACUUCUCACCGUACAGGACACUUUGCAUGGGCAGGGCUGUUUGCUCUCCACUGCAUCCCCACUGCCUGGCACCAUGCUUGGCUCGGGGUAGGUCUUCAAGAAAUAUUGAGAAUAUGAAUGAAUCAAUGAAUCCUUAUUUAUAAAAAGUUACACCCACUGCUGCUCAGGGCUGCCGGCUGGUGUAAACUGCCAGUGUGAGAGAGACAGAGCGAGCUCCCUCAGACAGCGAGCUCAAUCCCAGCCAACUAAGCCCAGCUGUAGCUCCCUCAGGCAUUCUGGCACUCAGGUUCCUAGAGCUGGCUUUUGUUGACAGCAUGUGUACAGAGCAU